AACGUAGGUACCGAGCGUUAUCCGGAUUUAUUGGGCGUAAAGAGCUCGUAGGCGGUUUGUCGCGUCUGCUGUGAAAACCUAAGGCUCAACCUUGGGCUUGCAGUGGGUACGGGCAGGCUAGAGUGCGGUAGGGGUGACUGGAAUUCCUGGUGUAGCGGUGGAAUGCGCAGAUAUCAGGAGGAACACCGAUGGCGAAGGCAGGUCACUGGGCCGCAACUGACGCUGAGGAGCGAAAGCAUGGGGAGCGAACAGG
rnacentral:rRNA from 1 species